ensembl:lncRNA
AUUAAACACGUACUACACACCAAGCUGAAACAGGGGGGUGUAGGAAACAUAUAGAAAUAGAAGACAUGUUCUUUUCCAUCAAGAACCUCUCAAUAGGGUUGAGAAGAGGAAACAAAUACUCAUGAAACAAUCGUAAUCUUAACUCUAGGGUACUAACUAUAAAUGCCACAGGGCUACAGAAAACUCACUUGAGUUGUAUAGGUUGGAGCAAUCAAUGAAGUUUUCGUGGGGAAAAUACAGAGACUCAAAAUAGAUAUGUAGGCUAUAGAUGGGGCAGGAAGGGAGGGCAGGAAAGAAGCAAUUAUAAAUGAGUUGGGCCACAGGAGCCAAAGUGUAGCCACAGGAAUGGAAUGAGGCUGAGAAACACAGAGAUUCCCCUAGAUCAAGGGUCAACAAACUGGGGGCCAGAGGCCAAACUUACUCCUCCACCUGUUUUUAUAAAUAAAGUUUUAUUGGGACUCAGCUACACUCAUUUGAUCUAUGACUGCUGUCAUGCUACAAUGGCAAAGAUGAACUGUUAUGCCUGAGACCAUAUAGCCUGCAAAGCCUAGAAUAUUUACAGUCUGGCCCUUUACAGAAAAAAGGGAAAGGCUGCCAACCCUUUCCCUAAUUGGAAGAACACUCAAUAAGGCUUUUAAGUAGGAAAGAUAGUAGAAAGGAAUCAAAGCAGAGACAUAGGGAUCAGGAGAUUAAUUCAGCAAAGGCCCUUCUUUUGUUCAGCUCGACACAAUGUUUUCUGUUCUCAAAACUUCUACCUAGCACUAGAGUUUCCAGGGCUCAUCCUGAAGUUUGCAUUGGGUCUCCAAGCAUUAGGGCUUUUGGCUAGUGGAGGCAUGCUCACUGGCAGGUGGAGGCAGGGACAACGCAGGGCAGUGACUUAGGAGGCUAGUUCUUUGGGUUCCUGGGCAAGUCAUUCCUGGUUUCCAUAUCUCAGUUUCUCCUUAUAACAUAUAAAAUGGAUCACCCCAGCCCUUAUCUGCUACCCUGGGCUCUUGAGAAGGUCUCAUGGAUGACAGUAUCUCUGGUACAGUCUUUAGAGGAAGUGGACAGUGACAGCCCAGGCUACAUCUUCAUAACUGUUUCAAGGGGACAGGUGUGUUUGUGUUUAUUCAGAAUGUUAAAGUGUGCUUCCUCUGAGGCUCAGGUCAAGGAUUUAGUCUCCCAGUUAGUUUGCCCCAUUCCACUCUUCUGAAUGAAGCCCUGUAUCAGCUCUACUUUUCAUAAAAGCCUCUUGUAGAUCAGAAGAGGGACUGGACAAGAGAAAGAGCAUGCAUCAAUCAGCAAAAGUCUCCUCACUCCUCAUAACUGGGCUUAUUUGUAUUUUUAACAAAUAUUUAUUUUGUACAUGGACUGUGGAGGGAACAACAAAAAAUGGUCUUUGCCCCACAGGGCCUCUGAGCCUCAUAAAAGAAUCAACACAAAUUCACAAGGAACAGUUAAGUAGGAAGAGAAGGCAGAAUGUGAUAAAAAUGUCAACGUGAGAGAGACAGAUGGUAAGUGUGAUAGGAGGAAUUUACAGAAGGAGGAGAUGGAUGUGAGUUAGAUGUGCAUAGAGCAGUUUGGGGAAGGCCCCGGGGAAAAUACGAUUGGAUCUGGUCUUGAGGAAUGGAUCACAUUUGAACUGGGAAAGUGGAAAUGGAAUAUGUUUACGAAGGAAAGAAGAGAAUGGCCAAAGCUUGGUAUUAUAAUCAUGAAUAACAGUUCAGAAAAUAAACAACCAAUACUGUUGAGAAAUUAGGAUAGCAAAUUGUGCGUCCAAAGUACAUAAAACUGCAGCGAGACCAUCACACCUACAACAGCAUCUUCCAAUGGAUGCAGGACCAAUUCUUUGUUAGACAAAUACACAUGAGGUGAAAAACAAUGAUAGGAGACAAUGUGUGGUAAUUGUCAAUUGCAGUAUGGACAGUAACUACCACAAUCAGCUUAUUCCUGGUUGAGGUGGUCAUGGCUCUCUCAUAGAACAUCACUGAAGAAAAGUCAGGUGUACUUUGACAGGACAUUUCCUGAUUUUAGCUGAUUAUUAUUUCUUCUUGCUACUACCCAAAGGUAAAAAGGAAGACGAGUGUUCUUUUACUAUUUACAGCUUGGAAAUACAGACCUUGUUUCCCAAUUCUUGCCAGAAUUCUUCCUCAGUAGAGCUGUUUUGACUAGACCGUAGACUCUGGUCCAAAUUUAAGGAUGGGCUAGAAUGAUGCCCUGGACUUAGUUCAAAGUUUUUUUACUUGGAUUACUUCCAAAGCAGCAAAAGAGUACAAAGGAUGGAGACAAGAUCGGCACAAAAUGAAUGUAAAAGGCUCUCCAUUAUUACCUUUGAUUGUGAAUAUCAGUACCCAAAGUACAGUUGGCUUAAAAGUGCACCAAAGUGAGGUAUGCUCCAAGUUAAAAAAAAAUAGGGCUGUGAACUCACUGCCUUCUUUAGCCACAGCCAUAGCAGCAUCCCCAAAAUAUGAAUACUAAUUAUUUUGCUAAGAGAACUGUGUCUCCCUGCCCUAAUGACCAGAAUCUGGAACCUGACACUCAAGCUUAACCAACACUGGAACCAUCUCUCCUGAUGUGCACCUGCAUGUCAAGGCUUAAGAAUUUUUCACUUAUGUGUACUUUGGGCUUUCUGUGGAGAUGCCUAACCAUGGCCUAACAUAUAAGCUGCUAGAAACUUAUCCUACCCUUUAGAGUGUAAGAAGCCAUGCCAGUGUGAAAAUUCUCUACUAUAGCCCACAUAUGGAGAACAGGGUUAAGUAUAUUAUACAUAUAGAGUUAACAGCUUUGUCCUACUUGGAAGAUGUCCUCCAUAAGGAUUUCCUCAGUUCUAGGUUAUUUCUGCUCGGUAAUCUCAUUGGACACUGCUGGCUUCUACUUUUCCAGAAAGUAAUAGAUUAUAUUUUCCAAAGAUGGCUGCAAUGACAUUCUCCCAUGUCACAUGCUUUUCUACAAGAUGACCUUGCAACUCAGCCAUCAAGAGGUAACCAAGAGAAUGCAGUGGAAGUGAUGUUUUGUGACCUCUGAGGUUAGGUCAGAAAAGGCCAUGCAGUGUCCACUAGGUUCUCUUGGAAAGCCCGCUUUGGGAACACUCCCUCUUGAAGCUCAGCUGUCAUGUGAAAAACACAAGCCACUUAGAUAGACCGUGGGCAAGUGUUUUGGUCAACAGUGCCAGCUGAGCCCAGCCAUCAAGCCAGCGACCAGACAUGUGAGAAAUAAAGCCUCCAGAUUCCAGCCCCCAGAUGCUUCAGUCAGCCCAGUGCUGCAGCCUUCCCAGCUGAGGACCCAGAAAUGGUAGAGCAGAGAUGAUUGGCCCUUUCAAAUUCCCGAUUCACAGAAUCCGUUAUAAUAAAAUGUUACUGUUUUACACCACUAAGCUUGGGGCUGUUUGUUACACAGCAAGAAUGACUGGAACACAGACCCGACCACAGGUUUGAAUGGAAAUCACAAUCCCUUUGCUGCUUCCUUUUUCACAUUUGUCCAAAGUCUAAUUUACUCUCAAUUAAUCUUUUCCAACUCUUUCCUUGAAUAUCUUCAGGAAUUAUUUUAACUCUUCUAGCUCCUUUACUUCUCCUACACUGGGUUUUAUGUGUCUUUACCUGUUAAGUUUCUUGUUCUCUGAUGAAAAAACUACUAUAAAACUAGGUCUUUUAAAAACUGUUUGGUAUAAUCUAAUCUACUCUCUUCUUACUUGAAUUACUAGGAAAGCUGUAUGUGCUUCCAGGGAUGGACUGUAAGAAUAUACGUAACUUAGAAUAUGUUCAAUAGAGAGUGACAGUUUAGGGACUUUAAAUUUUGUUAUGGAGUGACUAAGAGAGUAAGGAUAGUUCAGGCUGGAGUAAAAAAUGAUAAACUAUCCAGGAGGUGAGGAUGGGGCAGUGAAUUUGAAAUUACUGUUAUUAGAUGUGACAGACUAAGAGCAUUUAGUACUAUUUUGUUUGGGCUCUGAGGGUAAAACCAGGACUAGUGGAUGGAAUGACAGACAUUUACUCUGUGUAAAAACCUUCCUAAUACCAGAAAUGUCUAAAGAGAAAAAGGACAGUUGUAAGAGGCAGUGCACUUCCCAUCACUUGAGGUUUGAAAGCAAUGACUAAAUGUCUACUUGAUAAGAAUAUUGUAGAGAAAAUUCACGCAUUGAAGAGGGGGAAGCAGUGGGUGGAGAAUGCUAGGAGAGGUGAUCUUUAUGAUCCCUCUCAAACCUAGGAUUCUAUGAAUACUUUAUUUUCUUUUAGGUUCACUGGAAAAAUGGCAACAUAUUUUUGUGGAGCUGUUGACAGCAAUAGCAAUUUCUGCAAGAGGCAUUGGCCUUUGUAAACUGGUCAAGCUUUGGCAUGAAUAAACCGGCCAAUUCAGUAAAGAGGACCCAAUGAUCAGGAUGAAGACAAGCAGAAGGUUGAUUUGUCUUUCUUCUGUAUAUUUAUGAAGCUGUUGAUCCUAUGGUAACCUUAUCCUUACCUCUGGUGGAGCAGGAGGAAGAGAAAGCAAGAAAGACAGAAACAGAGAAGCUGGUUUUACCCCUUCCCUUCCUCAGGGCGCCACAGCAUUCCCUAUAACUCUGGGGAACAGUGAGGAUGAUGCAAGAACAGAGACAGUUUCAAAAAAGAGUUAAGGUGUAAUUAAUUAAUUGGGACCCCCUGCCCACGGCUGUCAUUUUUAUUUGAGGUGACCUCAGCUCUCUUGCUGGAGUCUGAUUUUAGUCCUGGCUCCUUUUGCUUCCGUGUUACCAUUCUACUCAGUCCUCCUACAUCUUUAUUAAACCUACAUUUUCUGAAUGACCCAAAUUUGUUCUUAAAUAGUGCCG